rnacentral:lncRNA from 1 species
GAAAGAGGAGAGCGAUGCGAGUCCGUUCCAAACCAUAAACGCGGUCGAGGAGGCGGUUUCCGAGAAGGUUCACGGCGGCGCCAUGGCCGGGAGUUUGCCGGAGUAGAGGAAAACACACUACGGUGGACGAAACUUCAAUCCAAGAGCACGGGAGGCAAGAGGAGCUCACCGCGAACCCGACUACGCCGAGAGCAAGGGC